AACAUUUUUAUCUCCAUCGUUAAUGCACCGGAUCCCAUCAGAACUCCGCAGUUAAGCGUGCUUGGGAUAGAGUAGUACUGAGAUGGGUGACCUCCCACCUAUCAUCAUUCUUUAAAGUUA
rfam:Picea glauca, whole genome shotgun sequence.